CCCUUAGAUGUUCUGGGCCGCACGCGCGCUACACUGAUGCAGUCAACAAGUUUAUUUCCUGAGCUGAAAAGUUUGGGUAAUCUUUUGAAACUGCAUCGUGCUGGGGCUUGACGAUUGCAAUUAUUUGUCACAAACGAGGAAUUCCUAGUAAACGCAAGUCAUCAUCUUGCAUUGAUUACGUCCCUGCCCUUUGUACACACCGCCCGUCGCUCCUACCGAUUGAGUGGUCCGGUGAGGCUUUGGGAUCUGAGCGGAAAGAGCGUUUCGCUGUUUCUGCUCGGAAAACUCAGUCGAACCUUAUCAUUUAGAGGAAGGAGAAGUCGUAACA
rnacentral:rRNA from 1 species